rnacentral:misc_RNA from 1 species
AUUUUGUCUCCCAGAAUCUCCGUGUACAGAAUACAAUCAUAUCAACGAAAACUAAAUGCUAAUCAUACAGAUGGUUUAAAACUAAAAAAUACAGACUACAUGACAAAAGGACAUGAGUGUCCGUAAGGAGGUUCUUGGAUUGUACAGGAAAAUAUUCCGCUUAUCCAGAAACUGGCAGUCUGUAGACUCCAGCCAAACUGCAGCAGAAAAACAGUACAUAAAGGAUGAAGCCAGGGUUCUCUUCAGAAAAAAUCAGAAUAUCACAGAUGAAAAUGAAAUAAGAGAACACAUCAAGGAAGCAAAUAUAAGGAUUGAAAUGGGUAAGCAAUUAAAUUGUUGCCAGUGAAAACUUGAUUCUUUUUUCAUAUUUUGAUGGUUACCCUGGCUUUCCCCUCUUGUCUGCAGUGUUUUGUCGUGCAAUGCAGUGUAGAAAAGUGUGGGCAGCAGGCUAUUAAUUACAAUUCUUUUUUUUUUUUUUCCUCUCUGAAUUUUGGGUUUAAAAAUCAAUCUCUGCACAUCUUGCUGGUAUUUUGCUGAGCCUUGACAUUGCACUUCAUGAUGUACAAAGAUUUCCCAGACAACAAGCAAUUUUUUAUAUGAUUUAACUGAUGAAGAUUAUAAAGCAAUCAAACCAUAAAUCAAAUUUUGUGGAAAAUUUUUUGUACUGUAACAAGAGAACUGUAGUUAACUCUGUUUGCUACUCUUCCUCUGAAAGCAGAAAUGACUGCAAAAACUAUACAAAAAGGUUAUGCUCACUCCAUGUAAUAGGGAGUACCUUGUGUUAUUAUUAUAAUAUUAACUUUUAUUAAUGAAACAAGUGAAUGUGAUAUAAAAUUCUAUUAAUCAUCAUUCAAUUUUUCUUUCAAUUUCAUGACUUUGAAACCAAUAUUUAUGUUCUGCAUUUAAAAAAAAGAUUGGCAUGAGUUUUGAUUUUUUUUUUUUUUGUAUAUUUUAGCUCUGCAUUACAAGACUCCAUAUCCUAGACAUGUAAGUAUAAAAAAAAUGUCAGCUGCCCUGUACAUUAUUCUUUCUAUCAAAGUUUUUGUAUACAGUCGCUUGAUAAUGCCAUCUGCCAUCAAGAGUUAUCUUUCUUUUGUUGUCUUUACUGCAGGUCAACAUUCCCCAAAAUGUGUUGGCGCCAUUAACCUCAAGACUCAAGAAAGCUCAAAAGAGGAAGAUCAAAGAAUCCAUUCCUUUGUAUUGGAAAUCCUAUGAGGAUGUCACAAAAUAAAGACUUGCACAUUGUUUUCCCUUUGACAUUUUCUUGUUCACUUGGAAAUACUCUGCAUCUUUGUACAUCACAGGAUCUAUAGACAUUUUUGUUCAGUGUGACAUCAUCUCAGAAGAAACUUUUGCUUUCUCUGGUAUAACAUUCAGUACAGAAUCGAUUUAUUUGUAUGAAUAAAGAAUGUCCAAUUUCCAAAUUUGUGUUAAAUGAUUAUCUAAUAAAAAGGUAUUUUAAUCCCUCCUUUUAAAGAUUUGGAAUGUCAUACUAAUUGUUCAAAGUAAAAGAAUAAUGAAGGGUUCAAAGGCAAAGAAUAAUAAAUGAAAAUAAGAUAUC